GCUCGCUCACAUGCAGGUUGUAAAGAAAAGACCCUCCCGGCGAAGGUUUUAGAACGUGGUGUUGUGGACCUAAGAAGCGUUAGCAAGGAACGCCAACCAUGGACCAGGACCCCACUUUGCUAGGUGCUGUACAAACAGAACCAGAAGAUGGCCCAUGCCCCAGAGAGCUUACAAUCCAAAUCAGGAUUCUUUCCAGGAGCCUUCUUUUGUAAUUAUUUUUAUUAUUAGCAUCCAUUUCCAAGUCACCAUUCAACUCAGAAGAUCACCUUUCAGAAUUUACAAGCCUCGCCUACGGUAACUGCUUCAACAACUGCAGCCAACGUUGGAGUGACACUGAGCAGUUGCUCAACAUUUGACCACAAUUUCGGCCAGCAAGUGAAGAAUACCAUAGCCCAGAGUUUCUCAACCUUUCCAGGUUCGUGACCCCAUACUCAACAUCAAAAAUAUUCACAACCUUCUUACAUUUACUAUAAAGACCUGAAGAAGAGCUCUGUAAAUCUUGAAAGCAUGUCCCUUUCACCAACAGAAGUUGAUCCAAUAAAAGAUGUUACCUCACUUACCUUGUCACAAUUGAUGGAAAGAUUGUCCACUCCUCUGGAUUUCAGAGUCCUAGACACUUGCUUGCGUGGGCGCACUGGAAGAUCUGCAGCUGGAGACAGCACUCUGUCGGGUCUGUGUAUCAGUCCAGCCAAGGCAACAAGCUGCACAACCCCUCUGACGAUUGGAGCCGGCCCCACCAAAUGUCAGCAGCUCUGGGUCCUGGUUUGGUGGGAAGAUCCUUCUGCCUCUCCUCAGACUCAGUCUCUCUGCUGUGCCCCUUCCCUUGCAAGUACUUUCCCAAACAAGAGUGGGGGUUACUCAUAGUUCCUUCACUGCAGGCCCAGCUCAGUCAGCUCUAGCCACAGCAGUAGUCUCUGCCCUGGCUCCAGUGAAGCUGUCAACAGCCUCUGAGGCUCCCUGCUCGAUCAAAGCCCCUGCAGGCUCUCAGCAGCAGCUUCUGGCUUCCUAACAGCAGCUCCUGGUAUGGACAGAGCUCCACAGCAGCAAUCUCACUCCUUUUCCCAAAAUGGAGUCCAUCCCUGCUCUUCCUGCACUGCCUGGAAGAGAGAGACUCUCACCCUUUCCACAAGGCAUCGUGGAACACUCCCAUUAAAGUUCAGAGGCCCCUCUAGUAAAGGGUGCCUACACUGGUCUGAUCUCAUGAACUGUCCGCUAGACAGUCCUUGAGUCUCAAUCCAGUGCUCAGUCCCACUGGACUGUCCUUCCUACUUUGCUAUGUGUGUGUAUAUCACCUAACAUCACUGCUCUUGGUUGGGGCCUCGAGAUGAUACUAUUGUAAGUUAUUCUUCAUUUCAAAAUGUAUUACACAAUAUUUAAAAUGUCCAGCGCAUCAUCAGAGAUCUACAACCUAUCCUGAAAGAUGAUCCUUUACUCUCACAGAUCUUGGGAGACAGACCUGUCCUCGCUUACAGACAACCCCCCAACCUAAAGCAAAUACUCACUAGUAACCACACAUCACUGCACAAAAACACUGACCCAGGAACCUAUC